rnacentral:lncRNA from 1 species
AGCAGAGGCCUCCAAACAAUGCUUUGGCCGGAAGAAUUAACGCAAACGAGGUCAGCGUAAGAACCAGACGCUGGGCCGAGAUCAGCCACGGCGAGGGGACAUAUAACUCAAGAAAUCUCAUACAACUGACAGAAUCUCAACCCUGGAAAUCUGCAUUUUCAAUCAGUAAGACACCAGCCAUGCAGGACACAGGUAAAUAGGGAAGAUCGACCCCCUUUUAAGCUUUCCAAGCAGUGUCCCUUCCUGCCAAAUCAGUUCAAAAAGGAGGAGGCAGCGAAGGGACCAGGGCUACCCUGUUAUCAUUUUGUGAUUCCUUUAUGAUUCUUCUAACAGAGCGGCUGCAUUGUUUAGGAAUCCAUUAACAGUUCAGAAAGAAAGUGGAAAACUGAGAGUCGGGAAUGGCUUUCUGCCUACACCUGUUUGUUCCCGCGUGUCUGGAAAUCAGAAAGAUGGGAUUCGCAAGAGCAGGGCUCGCUUCCUGACCUCGAGCCUGGACACAGGCGUUCAGCAUCGUGGCCCUGACUUCCUUUAUGGAAAGUUCCUACUCGUCUCCAGGACCUGAGAGGACAAGCCUGGAGCGGUUGGCAGCCCAGGGCAUGUGAAGUCUGAGGAGAAGUGAGUCCACAUGAAGAAAAGGAGAGCCAAGGGGAGGACAGACCCAGGGCCUUCACAGGCUCGAGCCCUGGAACAAGUUGGUCCCAAAGCUGAUCGUGCCCAGGUUUUUUCAGACAUCAGACAAUAAGUCCCUUUUUUGUUUAACAUUCUGUGACUGAGGGGCGCCUGGGUGGCUCAGUUGUUAAGCGUCUGCCUUCGGCUCAGGGCGUGAUCCCGGAGUCCUGGGAUCGAGCCCCACAUCAGGCUCCUCUGCUGGGAGGCUGCUUCUUCCUCCCUCACUCCCCCUGCUUGUGUUCCCCCUCUCGCUGGCUGUCUCUAUCUCUGUUGAAUAAAUUAAACAAACAAACAAACA